CCACUGCCCUGCCCCCUUGGCAUUGCUCCGAACUAGUCCGUCAGCGCCUCAAUCUCGCCACGCCCCCUUUUGGCUCCAUACCCUCUCUCGUCCUGGUUUUCGCCCCUUCAUCCUUUUGUCCCGCCCCUUCCCUUUAGCGCCCCCUUUUCGUCAUGCCCCUCUUGACUCCGCCCCUCGUUCUCGGCCAGUCUUUCGCUGCCUCAUCCCUCCGUCCCACCUCGUAGGCCCCGCCCCUCCGCGUCAGUCCUUUACAGCUCCACCCCCGUGGCCCCGCCCCUCACCCACCUGCCGGGUCCAGAGCGCGGGCCCCGCCUCCCGACGUCGCCCUGGUUACGCCGGUUCUGUCCUGCAGGAUUCCUGUUUUAGGAUUUGAUGAGACAGGAAGAAACAAUCUUGAAAGACCGAAGCCAGCAGCUCCACUGAGUCCAAAGCCCCAACAGGCCCUGCCGCCCUCCCCCUCCCCAUUUUUCCGUUGGAUCCCCUGGACGCCGGCGGGGUGACUGCGCGUGCGCCACCCUGCUUGUUCGAGGGGCUUGGCGGUCGCUUUCCACGGGUUGUGCAAGCGCGUGCGCGGGGCCGCGUCCGUUGCUUGGUUACGGCUUUCACCUGCAGCCAGCAGGGUGCUGUGCGCCCGGCUACCGCCUUUGCCUGGAGCUGGCCAGAGCACUCACGCCGCCCGGGGGCUUCUGACAGAGGAGAGAGCUGGAGCCUGACGGCUCGGUCCUCUAUCCUCCCAAACGACUCCUCCCGAUGGGGCGCGGCCUCAAGCCCCGGACGGAGCGCUGGACCUCUUAGACCAGGGACAUUCGCAGGUCAGGCUUGUGUCUGUCGUCUGUCGGUGCAGAGGCUCUCUGGAAAAAGGUUGUGGGCACCUGCAUAAAUGCUCCCCGAGUUGAGCACAGUGGAGUCAUAGAAGAUGAUGGAUCUCCAAGCUCUGAGUUCAGAGACUCAAUCCUCCACCUUGUGGGAACCAGUAGCAGUGCUGCUAAGAUAAAGGAAAGGACCUUGCUCUGUGUCAUCCCUUCUAGCUCGCCUGCUGUAGCUAAGAUAAAGGAUCUGGCCUUGAAUUCCUAAUCCUCCUUCCUGUCUUCACAUCCCAAGUGCUCCCAACACGACAUCUGGCUCCAUGGAUUGUUUAUCUAUGCUGGUGGCAGAGGUUUUGAAGUCUAAAUCUGAUCUGGGAUGACAUUCUGAGCCACAUGUGGCCUCUGAGCACUUUCAGUGUGGCCAGUCCAGCCCUGGGUUUCAAACACAGUGCAAAUAAUCAUCAUACCAAUGAGAUGGCUCAGUGGGUAAGGGUGCCUGUUGCCAAGCUGGAUGCCCAAGUUCAGUCCCUGGAACCCACAUGGCAGAGGGAGAGAACUGGCUCAUACUAGUUGUCCCCUGGCCUCCACAUGUGUGGCAUGUGUGAGUACACACACACAUACAAAUAAAUACAUACAAAUGAUAA